rnacentral:rRNA from 2 species
GACGAACGCUGGCGGCGUGCUUAACACAUGCAAGUCGAGCGGUAAGGCCUUUCGGGGUACACGAGCGGCGAACGGGUGAGUAACACGUGGGUGAUCUGCCCUGCACUUCGGGAUAAGCCUGGGAAACUGGGUCUAAUACCGGAUAUGACCUUCUAAUACCGGAUAUGACCUCCGAUUGCAUGGUGGGUGGUGGAAAGAUUUAUCGGUGCAGGAUGGGCCCGCGGCCUAUCAGCUUGUUGGUGGGGUAAUGGCCUACCAAGGCGACGACGGGUAGCCGACCUGAGAGGGUGACCGGCCACACUGGGACUGAGACACGGCCCAGACUCCUACGGGAGGCAGCAGUGGGGAAUAUUGCACAAUGGGCGAAAGCCUGAUGCAGCGACGCCGCGUGAGGGAUACGGCCUUCGGGUUGUAAACCUCUUUCAGCAGGGACGAAGCGCAAGUGACGGUACCUGCAGAAGAAGCACCGGCUAACUACGUGCCAGCAGCCGCGGUAAUACGUAGGGUGCAAGCGUUGUCCGGAAUUACUGGGCGUAAAGAGUUCGUAGGCGGUUUGUCGCGUCGUUUGUGAAAACCAGCAGCUCAACUGCUGGCUUGCAGGCGAUACGGGCAGACUUGAGUACUGCAGGGGAGACUGGAAUUCCUGGUGUAGCGGUGAAAUGCGCAGAUAUCAGGAGGAACACCGGUGGCGAAGGCGGGUCUCUGGGCAGUAACUGACGCUGAGGAACGAAAGCGUUGGUAGCGAACAGGAUUAGAUACCCUGGUAGUCCACGCCCGUAAACGGUGGCCUCAGGUGUGUGGGUUCCUUCCACGGAAUCCUCCGUAGCUAACGCAUUAACGCCCCGCCUUAGGGGAGUACGGCCGCAAGGCUAAAACGCAAAGGAAUUGACGGGGGGCCCGCAACUAAGGCGCGGAGCAUGUGGAUUAAUUCGAUGCAACGCGAAGAACCUUACCUGGGUUUGACAUAUACCGGAAAGCUGCAGAGAUGUGGCCCCCCUUGUGGUCGGUAUACAGGUGGUGCAUGGCUGUCGUCAGCUCGUGUUCGUGAGAUGUUGGGUUAAGUCCCGCAACGAGCGCAACCCCUAUCUUAUGUUGCCAGCACGUUAUGGUGGGGACUCGUAAGAGACUGCCGGGGUCAACUCCGGAGGAAGGUGGGGACGACGUCAAGUCAUUAUCCCCUUAUGUCCAGGGCUUCACACAUGCUACAAUGGCAGAAAGAGGGCUGUCGAGACCGUAGGUGGAGCGAAUCCCUUAAAGCUUGUCCGCGACCCCGUGAGGUGGAGCGAAUCCCUUAAAGCUGGUCUCAGUUCGGAUCGGGGUCUGCAACCUACGACCCCGUGAAGUCGGAGUGCUAGUAAUCGCAGAUCGAAGCUGCGGUGAAACGUUCCCGGCCUUGUACACACCGCCCGUCACUUCAUAAAGUUCGGUCACCCGAAGCCGGUUGGCUUAACCCCUUGUGCG